GAUGAACGCUGGCGGCGUGCUUAACACAUGCAAGUCGAACGGAAAGGCCCAAGCUUGCUUGGGUACUCGAGUGGCGAACGGGUGAGUAACACGUGGGUGAUCUGCCCUGCACUUCGGGAUAAGCCUGGGAAACUGGGUCUAAUACCGGAUAGGACCACCUUUUGGAUGGUGUGGUGGAAAGUUUUUCGGUGUGGGAUGAGCUCGCGGCCUAUCAGCUUGUUGGUGGGGUAAUGGCCUACCAAGGCGUCGACGGGUAGCCGGCCUGAGAGGGUGUACGGCGACAUUGGGACUGAGAUACGGCCCAGACUCCUACGGGGGGCAGCAGUGGGGAAUAUUGCACAAUGGGCGCAAGCCUGAUGCAGCGACGCCGCGUGGGGGAUGACGGCCUUCGGGUUGUAAACUCCUUUCGCUAGGGACGAAGCGUUUUUGUGACGGUACCUGGAGAAGAAGCACCGGCUAACUACGUG
rnacentral:rRNA from 1 species